ACUGAUGUAUAAUUUAAACAAAGAAAAGAACAUUUAAAAAAAAUUAGAACGAAGAAAAAAGAAGCGGGAUUGUACCUGCCUUUAAUUAGUUUCUUUAUUUCCUUUAUUUUUUCAGCCAUUUUCAGCAAACUACAAUCUGGCUCCUCUUAUCGGAGCAUUUGUCUUGCUGCUGCAAGGAGCUCGUCGGCCUCCACCGCGCUAGAAGUUUUUCAUCUAAGCUUUUGAGCUUUUGGGCUUUUGGAGUCUAAACAUCACUAGCAGCUAUGGAUCGAUAUAUGCAAUAUACAUUGGCUGAACAAGAUGAAGAUAGUGUAGAAUCAUUUACAGAUUUGUUGACAAAUAAUAAUGACAAAAAGAAUGGUAGAGGUCCUACACAAAUGCGUGACAUUUGGGGAAAUCUUGAUGGUAAAAAGAUACAAAUCACAUGUAAUAAAUUUGGACAACCACAUGAUAAAAAUGCAAGUAGACUUGCAAAAUUCAUUGGGACAUUAGUACGAGAUGGAAAAAAUGCUCCAAUUAACUAUGAAAAUUUAAAUAAAGUACCAGACAAAUACAAAGUUACA